CAGUCGCCGCGGUAAUGCGAAGGGUGCAAGCGUUAAUCGGAAUUACUGGGCGUAAAGCGUGCGUAGGCGGUUUGUUAAGUCUGUUGUGAAAUCCCCGGGCUCAACCUGGGAAUGGCAAUGGAUACUGGCAAGCUAGAGUGUGUCAGAGGAUGGUGGAAUUCCCGGUGUAGCGGUGAAAUGCGUAGAGAUCGGGAGGAACAUCAGUGGCGAAGGCGGCCAUCUGGGACAACACUGACGCUGAGGCACGAAAGCGUGGGGAGCAAACAGGAUUAGAUACCCCUGUAGUCCCUGUCUCUUAUAA
rnacentral:rRNA from 1 species